CACUCCAGCAAAGGGCGAACUUGACGGUCCAUUGUCUUUAUCCUCUGUGUCUUCCCUACCUGGUUUGAAAGGGCCACCCUUGCCCUUAGCCCCUAGUGGCACUGGGGAUCCUUUCUGGACAGCCACAUUCUUAGAGGCGCAUUUUGUCCUGCAACUUUGAAGGGCCUGCUGUUGACGGAGACCUCCUCUGUCGGGUUAGUCCCUGUGUUGAACUUUGCCAUGAGGGACUUCACAUCUGUUUUUCCAUCCUACAAGCACAGGGAACAACAACAACAACAAAAAAAACCCAGCUGAGAGCCAGAAGUCUCACUUGCAACUUAAAGUACUACAUCUUCAAGGGCUUCCUGAUCUGCGGCCGGGUGCCGGGGUGCUGGGGUGUCGCUGAUUGGUUGACCAGCUAUUGUAACAUUUAAGUUCCUCUAUGGUAAAAUAAGUUGUGAGCAUUUCUUGUAAAGGGAGGGCUAUGGCUGUGCAUAAACUUCUGUUUGUCAUA